UGUAUAUAUAUACUCACUUUUUCUCACAUGUUUGACCAUUCGUCUUAUUUAAAAAAUAUACAUAAUUAUAAUUUAUUUUGUUAUGAGUUCUUUUAUCACUCAUAGUACUUUAAAUAUGAUUAUUAUCUUAUACAUUUGCAUAAAAUUUUUAAAUAAGACGAAUGGUCAAAUAUGUGAGAAAAAGUCAACAGCUUCAUUUAUU
rfam:Oryza glaberrima chromosome 6 Oglab06_0020_9, whole genome shotgun sequence.